rnacentral:rRNA from 1 species
GAUGAACGCUGGCGGCGUGCCUAAUACAUGCAAGUCGAGCGAACAGACGAGGAGCUUGCUCCUCUGACGUUAGCGGCGGACGGGUGAGUAACACGUGGAUAACCUACCUAUAAGACUGGGAUAACUUCGGGAAACCGGAGCUAAUACCGGAUAAUAUAUUGAACCGCAUGGUUCAAUAGUGAAAUACGGUUUUGCUGUCACUUAUAGAUGGAUCCGCGCCGCAUUAGCUAGUUGGUAAGGUAACGGCUUACCAAGGCAACGAUGCGUAGCCGACCUGAGAGUGUGAUCCGCCACACUGGAACUGAGACACGGUCCAGACUCCUACGGGAGGCAGCAGUAGGGAAUCUUCCGCAAUGGGCGGAAGCCUGACGGAGCAACGCCGCGUGAGUGAUGAAGGUCUUCGGAUCGUAAUACUCUGUUAUUAGGGAAGAACAAAUGUGUAAGUAAAUAUGCACGUCUUGACGGUACCUAAUCAGAAAGCCACGGCUAACUACGUG